UACGUAGGGGGCAAGCGUUGUCCGGAUUCAUUGGGCGUAAAGAGCGUGUAGGCGGCCAGAUAGGUCAGCUGUGAAAACUCGGGGGCUCAACCCUGAGACGUCGGAUGAACCAUCUGGCUAGAGUCCGGAAGAGGAGUGUGGAAUUCCCGGUGUAGCGGUGAAAUGCGCAGAUAUCGGGAAGAACACCCGUGGCGAAGGCGGCACUCUGGGACGGUACUGACGCUGAGACGCGAAAAGCGUGGGGAGCGAACAGG
rnacentral:rRNA from 1 species